UACUUCACCAAUCAGAAGGAAUCCCUUCUGAUCCAUGUGGUCUUUGCAUCUUAUGUAUUGGAAGGGAUCCCUUCUGAUUGAUGAGGUG
rnacentral:miRNA from 1 species